UUGAUAGGAAGUGUUCAGUGUGGGUCUUCAAAUUGUUCUCUCACACAUAUAUUACAAAAAGGCCUUUCCUAAUGUACUCCUUCUGGGUCAUACUCACAUUGUUUUGAUAGGGAGUCUUCAAUGUGGCUCUUCAAAUUGUUCUCUCACACAUAUAUUACAAAAAGGCCUUUCCUAAUGUACUCCUUCUGGGUCAUAAUCACAUUGUUUUGAUAGGAAGUGUUCAAUGUGGUCUUCAAAUUGUUCUCACACAUAUAUAUUACAAAAAGGCCUUUCCUAAUGUACUCCUUCUGGGUCAUAAUCACAUUGUUUUGAUAGGAAGUCUUCAAUGUGGUUCUUCAAAUUGCUCUCUCACACAUAUAUAUUACAAAAAGGCCUUUCCUAAUGUACUCCUUCUGGGUCAUAAUCACAUUGUUUUGAUUGGAAGUCUUCAAUGUGGUUCUUCAAAUUGUUUUCUCUCACACAUAUAUUACAAAGGCCUUUCCUAAUGUACUCCUUCUGGGUCAUAAUCACAUUGUUUUGAAAGGAAGUCUUGAAUGUGGCUCUUCAAAUUGUUCUCUCACACAUAUAUAUUACUUAGGCCUUUCCUAAUGUACUCCUUCUGGGUCAUAAUCACAUUGUUUUGAUAGGAAGUCUUGAAUGUGGCUCUUCAAAUUGUUCUCUCACACAUAUAUAUUACAAAGGCCUUUCCUAAUGUACUCCUUCUGGGUCAUAAUCACACACAGUUUUGAUUGGAAGUCUUGAAUGUGGUUCUUCAAAUUGUUCUCUCACACAUAUAUUACAAAGGCCUUUCCUAAUGUACUCCUUCUGGGUCAUAAUCACAUUGUUUUGAUAGGGAGUCUUGGAUGUGGUUCUUCAAAUUGUUCUCUCACACAUAUAUAUUACAAAAAGGCCUUUCCUAAUGUACUCCUUCUGGGUCAUAAUCACAUUGUUUUGAUAAGAAAUGUUCAAUGUGGUUCUUCAAAUUGUUCUCUCACACAUAUAUAUUACAAAAAGGCCUUUCCUAAUGUACUCCUUCUGGGUCAUAAUCACACAAUGUUUUGAUAGGGAGUCUUCAAUGUGGUUCUUCAAAUUGUUAUCUCACAUAUAUAUUACAAAAAGGCCUUUCCUAAUGUACUCCUUCUGGGUCAUAAUCACAUUGUUUUGAUAGGAAGUCUUCAAUGUGGUUCUUCAAAUUGUUCUUUCUCACAUAUAUUUCAAGUUGUCUCAGUAAGUAUUGAAAUCUUAAAACAUUUCACAAACUAUUGGAACUAAGAAUGUUGGGUCAGUUAAUGUACAUAUAUAUCUGUUUAUUUUACAAGGCUCUCUCAUUCUGGUCCCUGCCCUUGUAAGUACUUAAGUCUUGGCCUCGUAAAACAUUUCACAAACUAUUGGAAGUAAGAAUUUGAAGUCAGUUAAUUUCACAAACUAUUGGAAGUAAGAAUUUGAAGUCAGUUAAUUUCACAAACUAUUGGAAGUAAGAAUUUGAAGUCAGUUAAUUUCACAAACUAUUGGAAGUAAGAAUUUGAAGUCAGUUAAUUUCACAAACUAUUGGAAGUAAGAAUUUGAAGUCAGUUAAUUUCACAAACUAUUGGAAGUAAGAAUUUGAAGUCAGUUAAUUUCACAAACUAUUGGAAGUAAGAAUUUGAAGUCAGUUAAUUUCACAAACUAUUGGAAGUAAGAAUUUGAAGUCAGUUAAUUUCACAAACUAUUGGAAGUAAGAAUUUGAAGUCAGUUAAUUUCACAAACUAUUGGAAGUAAGAAUUUGAAGUCAGUUAAUUUCACAAACUAUUGGAAGUAAGAAUUUGAAGUCAGUUAAUUUCACAAACUAUUGGAAGUAAGAAUUUGAAGUCAGUUAAUUUCACAAACUAUUGGAAGUAAGAAUUUGAAGUCAGUUAAUUUCACAAACUAUUGGAAGUAAGAAUUUGAAGUCAGUUAAUUUCACAAACUAUUGGAACUAAGAAUUUGAAGUCAGUUAAUUUCACAAACUAUUGGAAGUAAGAAUUUGAAGUCAGUUAAUUUCACAAACUAUUGGAAGUAAGAAUUUGAAGUCAGUUAAUUUCACAAACUAUUGGAAGUAAGAAUUUGAAGUCAGUUAAUUUCACAAACUAUUGGAAGUAAGAAUUUGAAGUCAGUUAAUUUCACAAA